UUGAUGCGGGGGUGGUGGGGGUGGUGGGGGAGUCCGGUGACUUUUUAUGCCCAGACCUCAGUGCAGGAGCUAAUGGGAAAAUAUGUAACCUGGGGUUAUGGAGUAUGGGCGAGGAGAAGUCAGAUGGAAAAGAUAGACGUAUCAGAGGGGAAGCUAAUGGAACCACACGGGAGACGUUAAAAGGCAAUAAAUCCGGCAGCCUGAAUGGUAUUUGCCCAGGAAUUCCGUGGAGGAGGGUUAGCUCUUAGAAACCUGCUCACCUGGGGCUAGGGCUGAGCGUGGCCAGGGUCCCCUGUGGCCUGGAAACCAGGGCUUUGGACCCAUCCUGAGAAGAACAAGAUCCCAGAGAUGGGUUUCCAGGCUGGGAGCGGCCUGGGAAGUCUCUGGAGACAGAGGGAGCCCCGGAUUGUGGGAGGCUGGGCCGGCCAAGGGGCUCCAACACCUCAAUCACUGGGGAACGUUCUCUGGGAGAGUUAAGCAGCCCGUGGGGAAGGGAGAACCACAGCAUAUAAUUUAUUUCCCUACUCCCUGACAAAAUUCUUCCCAGAAGGCGUGGAUGGUAAUUCUCUGUAAUUAUAUCUCAUUCGUGGUUCUGCGCAUUAACUCAUCAGUGUUCGCAGCAUACCUGGGGGGAAUGGUGGGGGGUUGGUAAUGACCGACUUUAUUAGCCAGGUGGGGGAAACUGAGGCACCUCUGGUGGGAGGCACAGGGUCAGAACUGCGACUUCCUGGAGAGCAAACGUUUAAAGGGAGGAGAGGAAGAGAUCGGGCGUGGGGCCUGGGCUCAAUCUCUUCUUCCUGUGCUCUCCUGUUUGAUCUGAGGAAAGUCACUCAAUCUCUCUGGACCAUGGUUUCCUGACCUACAAAUUAAGAGAGCUGGGUACAGUGGACUCUAUGGUUCCUGACUCGGAGUGUGUUUGGAAGUUUCACCUCCCACCAACUUACGGAGAAAUACGAGGUUCGUUGUGUGAUGAUGAGAGUGGAUUUGAGUUAGUUUGUAAGUUGAACCUGGUCAUGUUGUCGAUACGAGACACUGUGAUGAAGACCUCCUGACCUUCAGAGGAAGGGUCCAUCCAAGGGACAGGACUCCACGGCUUCCACCAGGAUAUCCUUCGGUUCUUGCCGUCUCUUGGGCAAACUGCAUAUCUGUGGCCUCUCCUCGGGGACUGGAAGUGACAGCUGGGACUUGCUUCGUGACAUCACAUCACGGGAAUCUGAGAGCCCAAAGCCUUUGAGGUUGGCGCGGUGACGGAGGGGAAAGGAAGGAAGAAUUGAGAUUUGCAGGUCACUUACCUAAGCCAGGCACCCUGGGAAGCACUUGACAUACACCAUCUCAUAAUCUUCAAAAACAGCUCUAAGGAAAAGACACCUGUUUUACAGAUACAGAGACUGAGGUCCAGAGAUGGGCUUGCUCAAGGUCACUUGGCAGCCACCCUCUUUGCCUACCUGGAGACUGCAAGCCUCCUUGUGAUUUCCUGCUCCUCUCCUAUCAAUUUUCAGAAGAUCUUGAGACUGUAAAGUCUGGGAGUCCUCGAAUCACGGCAGCAGGACUCAUUACAGGAAUUGGCGCCUGUGGUUAUGGAGGCCAAGAAGUCCCACGAUCUGCCCUCUGCAAGCUGGAGACCCAGGGGAGCUGCUGGGGUAAUUCAGUCCAAGUCUGAAGGUCUACACACUGGGGACUGAUGAUGGAGGUCCGAGACCUGAGACCCAGAAGCAGUGAGGCCCGAGGGCAGGAGAACAUGGAUGUCCUAGCUCGAGCCAAGAGUAAAUUGGCCCUUCCUCCUCCUCUUUGUGUUAUGGGCUCCCUCAAAGGAUUGCAGGAUGCCCGCCCACACUGGUGAGGGCUGUCUUACUUAGCCAGGCCACCGGUUCAAAUGCUAACCUCUUCUGGAAACACCCUGGCGGAUACACCGAGGAAUAAUGUUUUACCAACUAUCUGGGCAUCCUUUGGCCCAGUCAAAAAACUAGCCGUCACACUACCUUCGCCCAGAUCAUCAUGCCAGCCUUUUAACUUUGUUUAACUGCCUGAAAUGAACGGGAGCAAAUCUCUGCUGGGCGUGAGGGAUGGACGACUGGGCACGACCCAAUUCGAGGAGGUCAGAGGGGCGCCUCAGGACGUGCCCACUCCGAUCCGAAGCCUGUAAACCCCGAGUUCUGGCCAACGUCGUCUCUUCCAGGCGGCCGGCUUUGGGGGCACCCUAACUUUUGCGAACCUCAAUUUCCCCGACCUGGCGGGAUCACUGCGGCUUGAAUGAGGCUAGAGGUUGGCAGAAGCUCCGUGGAAGCUACAGAGUCCCGCCUCAGGACCAAUUUCCAGCGCUGCUCAGGUCACUGGGCUGGCCCGAGCUAUUGGUUUCUUGUGAUUCAUUACGUUUGAUAUGCAACUUUUCGAGAAGUCCGCAGCGCCAACCUCUGGGUUAAUGGAAGCCACACCAGCCACGAAGCCAGUAGCUUUGAAUCUUCCCCGGAUGGGGAGGCCUGGGCAGCGCGGGUGCUCCCCUUUCAGGGAACACCAAGGAAGUUUCUGGAAGCAAGCGGGCCACAAGAUGUGUCUGAGAGACCCCCAGUCUUCCUCCCAGAGGCCUCCUCGGGCAUCAGCAUUUGGGAAAAGCCGGGUAGACGCUUGCUGUAACCUCCCCAGCUGGUCAGCAUUUAUAAAGUGGGGCACAUCUGUUCUUCACUGUCAGCGUGGCGAAGGGGAGGGAUGGAGAGAGAGGAGAAAGCCCAAACACUGGGCUCCAUCCCACCUAGUGCCAAGAGAAAAUUGCUUCUAAGUUGGAAUCAUGGGGAAGGGCUUCAUUACAGGGCAGAGACUUCCUCAAAAUGCCUCCCUCCCCCUCCCCCUUUCUGCUUUCUCUCUUUUUAAAAGUCUCCAGGUUCGAGCCCGUCUUGAGAUUUAUGAUGUGUUUUGCUUUGCAAACCCCCUAAGAUCGUAUUUGGGUGACAAAGAGCUGAGAGGUCUGCAGAUAGCCUGUUGGUUGAAAAAGAGAGUGUCAUGUAUAAUGAAUACAGGAUAUUUAGCAGUGUCUCUUUCAUGUACAUACAUCAAGUUAUAAAUGCCCCCACGCGUGUGCAAAGCCCAUAGCCACAGGCUCAGGGGCGGCACCCCCUCAUCACGUGCACAGAGAGGCAUGACAUGCUUGCAAACACAUGCAAAAGACCCACAGGCGUGCGGAAGCAUGUUCAUACAUGAGCAGGCCCACACCAAUAUAGCAAACUGGAAACAGACCCAAACCCACUUCCGACAUCAGAGCGCGAUGGGGAUAUGCACCCCCCCGCCCCCCCCCCCCCCCGAUGCAGGCCCCUCCCAGGGGCCCCUCCGAAAAGUUUAAAUGAAUGGUCUCGGAGGGACCUGCUUUGCUUCUUCUUCCGGCUUCAGUUUUCCUUGCAACACAGAGGUCUUCUGAAACAGUCGCGGGGCCCACAAACCACACUCCGUUCUGCUUUCUAAUGAGACCUCCAGGCCCAUAACAAAGCCAAAAGCUCCAGAAACUGCAUUUCACCGAGCUCUAAGCACAGGCCUGGCCCAGGACCUCUUGGAGGCCGCUGUUCCUGCCUUCCCAGCUGCUGCAGUAAACUUUCCAAGGGGGACCUGACACCGCCAGAGGGUUCCUGGGGACCCUGGCAGAAAAAGGGACACGGAGAUGGAUGACCCAAAGCCACGUGAUGGAGAAGGGCCCUCGACAGCCAGGACCGGCAAUGACAUGGGGUCUCAGAGAGACAAAAUGAAACCUGGCCCCCAGUCUUCCAUCCUUUCCUCUAAGAUCUAAUUACAGAUGUCUUGACAUUCCUUCUGCAUAGAGUUUCCUUAAAAGAUUUGCCAAGAAGGAACAUUUGGAAACUGUGUUUUAGGUAUAAUCCCGUCUGGGAGUCACUCUCGCUGGCUGGGCCCUUAGAUGACAAACACUUCAUGAUGGCGAGCUCCAUGGACACCGCGUUUGGAAGACUGGAUUCUUGACCCACAGCAUAUACCCCGUGUGGACAAUGGCCUUUUGGCAGAGCAUGCCUCUCUGAUCUCACGUUCAUUUCGACACAAAUAUACUUAUUGUGGGUACCGAGUUUAUGUGGCGGACUCCUCUUGACACAUGUUCACAAUAAAAACACAUUCUUUUUUUCCCCUUCCCCUGACCCUAGGAAAAAAACAAAAAAAAGAUUAACAUUUUUCAAGAUGCUGUUUUAAUGGCACGAAAACUGUCUGAGUGUUCACUCUGCUUUUGUAUUUUUUUUCUUUUCUCCUUUUAUUAAAAAGGCUUUUAAAACCAAACAUUCCUGGCUUGUAAUUCCUCUUUACUUUUGCUUUUAUGCUGAGGGAGAGACAGAUUAGAUUAGAUUAAAGACCGAGGGACACCUCGUGAAAUACAUUCCAUUUAGAGACAGUUUGGUUGCUAGGGUCAGUGCAUGCGCGUGCGGGCCGGCGUGCGUGUUUCUUCUUGUGGCUUUACUGAUGGUCUUUUUGCAAACACGGUGUUCUGGUUUCUAGGAAUGCAUUUGUUCCUUCGGCUUCUUCUCUUUAGAAGUCUGCAGCCUUUGAUUGUGGCCUGACUUUUAGGGGUCUGUGGCGUUUGGCGGGGGGGGGGGGGCAGUAAAUCUUAUUAGUUCUUCUCUUCAGCUUCUCACUUCUCAAAACUUUUUCCAAAAGCAGUGGCAGUUUCCUCACAGGCUGCAGAUGAAAGAGAUUGUUUCAAAGACCUU